CCAAGAAAUUUUGACUUCCAAAUUGAAACUUUCCUUUGUGCUAUCUUGAUUUAUCUUUUUUUAAUGGCUUGCAGCCUGUAGUUAAGUUUAUUUAUCUUGCAAAGUAAUAAAAUUGUUUUAUAUAUUUUUACUGUUGUAUCUGAAAUAUUUGCUUAUGAAAACUUUUAACAGGUAUGUUUAAAAUUAUGCUAUUUUGUUUUUUAUUCUUUUUAUUGGAGACUUGUAGUUCAAAAGACUAUGAGGGCCAAAAAAAAAAAAACGAUAAGAUGUAAAAAUUUUUAUGAUCCCAAUGCUUACUACAGUUUAAGGAAUCUGUUUAAUUAAAUAUUAUAAAUAGGGUUAUUAAUUGCUGAACGAUAAUUAAACCAGUUCUUCGAAUUCAUUUAGCAGUUCUGGGAUGUCUAGUUAAAAUUUUAGCAAAUAAUUUCCUUUUUUAAUCCUUUUAUAAAUAUUGUAUCAUAUUUUUCUUUAUUCUAAAGCCAUCUGUGAAACUUUUUAAUUUCUCCAUUAACAAUGACUUAAGAUCAGAAGAAAACUCCAUGCCAUCAGACAUGGUUUUGGUUGCCAUAGAAAUGAUUUGUUCAAUUUCAUGCUAGUUGUAAGAGAUUCAUUUCUCUUCUGGCAUUGUUGUACAUUUUCUCUUCUGGCAGAAAUAGGCUGACCUAACAAAAUGGAACCAUAGAAAAUAAAAAAAACAAUAAGUAGGCAAAAGUAUUUCUAGGAAAAUAAUUAUUUGCAAUGAAAAUAAAGAUUUCAGUUUUGUUUCAUCUAUUUAUUCAGAUCAAACAGAACAAUAUGUGCAUCCCAUCUCAUCUGUUAUAACACACCUUUUCAUAGCAAAGGACAGCAACUUGUCUUAUGGCAAAGGGUUUUCUCAUGAUGAUUAUUCAUUUAAAAGGCCAUUGGAAACUGUAAAUAACUCAUCAGUGGAAAAAUAUAAAUAUGCAUUCAAUCCUUUUAUAGCUGGUCAAUUAUCGAGAAUAAAGAACAGAAAACUGUUCCACAAGGAAGUUUUUAUAUGCAAUGUUUGUCAGAAACCAUUUACUCAGAGGUAUAAUUUGAAAGUUCACAUGCGACUUCAUACUGGUGAGAAACCUUUUAAAUGUGACAUCUGUUUUCAACGUUUUCCUUUUCGUCCAUCAUGGAAGCGCCAUGUUCUUUCCCAUAAGUGACUGAUUUCUUUUUAAAUUCAAAUUGAUAUGCACUUGGACUUUAUGCAAUUUUUCAAUCAAGCAUUGAUUUUAAAACCAUAAAACUAGCCUCAUCUGGCCUUAUUGCCCAGAACUGUUUGGUGCUCAGUACUUUUUAUUGAAAUUUUAAUGUCAUAAAUAGAAAUUAUGUCCUUUGCACCAAGUAAAUUAAUGCUGCAAUGGUUUAUUUAGUUGUUGCUAAAAUAAGAGGUGAUUUAUUUUCUGAUGCUUGAAAAAAAAACCAAAAAAAAACCAGUAUUCUUGCAACAGCUGGUAGUUGGUCAAAGGGGUCAAGGAGAUUGAUUCCAUACUGUCAUAACCAGCAAACUAAUAGUGUAGUGCCGCAGCUAUCAGAAAUAAGUUUAGACGUGAGUGUUCUUCAUUAUUUUUUUAAAAUUUAAUCCACAAAUAAUAACAUAAAAUCUCUUCAAACUGAACAAAAACUUCUUUUUUUCAAAUAACUAAUUAUCAUCUACUGUGCUGACCACAGCUAGAAUUACUUCUCUACUUGCUCUUAGCCUUAUUGAUUGAUCUGUUAUUUCAUAGUGGCAGUGCCUUCAGCAAUGCGCCAUGCCUACUUUCAUUUUCCAGUCAAACUGGUAUUCUUCAAUCUUAGGCUAGGUGGGCUUAAAGUUAACCACCAAGUAUUGUAUCCUAGUCUUGAACACUGACACUUUGGUGCCUUAACCACUGUACCACUAUGACUCCUUGAGAGUUGUAUACUGGUUCAUUUUCACAUUGAUUAAGUUCAAAGCAUGUUUCAUUAUAGUUUCAAAAUAAAAUAAAAACUUGAUGAAAAUUAAAUUUGUUUCCUCAGAAUCUCAUCUUGUGAACAUUUUUACUGUAAUUGUAUGAUUAAGUAUUUUCGUCAAUGUGCUGUAUUAAACUAUUAUUUUAGUUGUGUCAUUAGAUUUUGUAAUCGUUGUAAUUAUGUAAACGUGUGUCUUUGCGAAA
rnacentral:misc_RNA from 1 species